AUUCAUCUGACGAAUCCAAAAUAGGACGAAAUACAUGUACUGAAU
rfam:Schistosoma rodhaini strain Burundi genome assembly, scaffold: SROB_scaffold0008162